AUAACAAGGACUGUGUUCAUGCCUUUCACAAGGAAUGUAUUGUCGAUUGGUUAUUACGGAAUCCGAAAUGUCCGCUCUGUCGAAACAAUUAUAUUGUCGUGGUCGAUCAAAAGGAGGAGGACGAGGAAG
rnacentral:ribozyme from 1 species